CCAUCCAGCGCGAGGUUUUCAUUAAUUUUUAAGUGCAGCCCGUAAAACAGAACGAGCCGCUCAAAGGUAGGGCCGCGUUACCGAGCGCCGCCUCACCGCGCGAUUUACGAACGGAGGUUGGGAAAGAAGGUGGCCCAUGACACUUGAACACUCUCUUUCUGGGGCCUCACCCUCACUUGCAGCAAUGCUGGUAGAAGGGAUCUGGGUCAGAAAGAUCCAUGGUGACCCCACCCCUCUGCUGGGAUUUUGGUCUGCCAGGAAAUAAAGGGUCCAGAAAGAAGAAGUGUGGCCCUGUGAGGGCAUGGCACAGCUCCUGGCAUUGGGAGUGCUGCUGUGUGGGUGAGAAGAUGUGCUCCUGGUGUGUGGGGUUGGGACAGAUGGAGGUUCCUUUCUGCAGGUGUCUUCCUUACUUACUGCUUGAGGGUUGCCAACGGAGGCUGUAGAGAAAGAAGAUGGACGUUGUGUCUUUUAUGUACUUCUGCUGUACUUAUGUACAUUCUGCUGUUACUUGAGUUAGGCUUUUUUCCUCUUUUCCUGUUCUCAUGGAAAAAAAAAAAAAAAAAAAAAAGACUGAACUUAUCAUUUUAACAGAAAAUUUCCCAUCUUUCCCCUCCAAAUUGAGUCUGACUACAAACUCACCCUGGGAAGCACUGGACCUAAGAGGAUGUGCCCUUUUCCCCAGGAUAGAAGAAUGCUGGUGGAGCAACUGAUUGGAAGAUUAAGCUGCUGCCAAAUUAGUCCUGCCAGUAACUGAUUUAUUCUCCAAUGGAUAACUUAUUCCAGCUCCUGAAAUCUGCUGCAUGGAUCCAAGGGGUGGUUUGGCUCAGAAGAGGCAGUGUGAUCAGCCUCUGAGCUCCAUAUAAAAAGUACGAAUCUGAUGCUGGGGUGAAGACGUCAUUGCCUUUGGAAGUCGAAGCCACUGUAGUGCUUCAGCCCAUCCAUCUCUCCGGGACAUCUGCAUAUCCAGAUUAUUUGUAUCUCUGGACCGUGUCCCAAUCACUGUCUUUCUUUUCAACUUCUCUCCAGUUUUAUCCCAAAGUUAUUUCUUCUCAGAAAUUGGACCUAGCCCAGUGAAGUGGUGCGUUCUUAGCCAAAAGUUAGGAACAGCAGUCUCAUCUCCAGUGUCUUAAUUACUAAAUGGGAAAUUAUAGGAAAAAAAUAAUAUAGGUACAGACAUCUGUUUACACACAUACAUCCUUUACUCGUCUAUCUUUACGUAAACCCACUAGAAAGAGCAGUCCAGAUUUCUUGGCUAUAUGUUAAUGGAACCAGUGCUAUAUACAAGGGUUUUUCUUGCCUGCUGUUUUCCUCACCUGAAGCUUGCUCCAGGUCCAGCAACAAUUUUUCCAUCAGUGAAGCUGAACUGAGUUUUUGGCAUCCCAUUUGCCACCGUGUGAUGACAGAGUGACAAGGACAGAAGUGAAAUCUCUGCCAACCCAUGUUGAAAAUGGGAGAUAGACCUGAACUAGGUCUGGUUUAACAACAUUUAUGUUGAUGUUAUGUAGAAUGGAUGCACUGGUGAUGUCUGUUAUGGGUGGAAAGAAUGUCGAACUAUGUGUUGAGCUAUAAGAAAGGAGGGGACAGACUCUUUAGCAGGGUUUGUUGUGACAGAAGGGGAAACAGUUCCAAACCAAAAGAGGGGAGAUAUACACUGGAUACAAGGAAGAAGUUUUUACAGUAAAGGUAGCAAAGCACUGGAGCAGGUUGCCCGGAGAAGUGGUGGAUGUCCCGUCCCUGGAGGCAACCAAGGUCAGGCUGGAUGGGACUCUGAGCAAUCUGAUCUCACUGUAGGUGUCCCUGUUCACUGAAGGGCAGUUGGACUAAAUGGCCUUUAAGGAUUCCUUCCAACUCAAACAAGUCUGUGAUUCUAUGUGGCAGGGUAAAUAGUACUCCGUAGUAGAAAUGCUAAAUCAUGGCUCGAACUGGUGAUUGAGCACCUGGUAGGAAGGCAGGGCCAACUCAGGGAAGCUCAGGUGCAAGUAAUGCAGCUGAGUGACCAAAAGCGGUGGAGCCAGGAUCCACCCCUUCCCAGCCCUCAUUUAAGGGUUGGCAGUGGAGGUGAGGGAAUCUCUCUGGAGUUCUGUGUGUACUGGAGUCCUUCUGAAAUUAGGGUGCUUCCAGUUGUGCCUGUGGAUGAUGGCUGCUCAUACCGAGAGGCAGCAGUUGUUGGCAGGGCUUGAGCAAAGCUGCUCUUCUUUUUGGCAGCAUGCUGAGCAGUUGUAUUAAGAGGAGUAUGAAUCACCACUCUGAACCUCAAGUCUGCCCCAGAGUCCAGGACCUCAUACACGAGGGGGCAGCUUUCCUCUGUUUUGCUGUGAAAUGAAGAGUCACUGAUCCGGGCUAUCAAGCUGCUGCCUACUGCAAUUCACCAUGAAGAUGGGAAUUGAUCUGGUCUAUGGAGACAGCCUCCAAUUGUAGGACGCCGCUCACUGGCCUUGCAUCCAAGGAGAUGAAUGGAUAGCACUUACAAGAGCACCCAACCAAGACAAAUUCAGCUUGAGCAGUGUCCACUCCUGUUUGGCAAGCAACUAAGUAAGAGCGAAUAGGAAGAGGAGGGUACGUGGGUACCCCUCCAUUUCGGGGUCCCCCCCAUGUCAUGUACAUGUUACAUGGUGCAUGUCAGACCUCACCAUGUCUGGGAGACCUUUAGGCACCAGCACACUAACUCAGGCUUCUUUUCCUGGUGAGGAAGGGGAAGUGUCCCAUGGCUCAGAUUGUUAUCUGAGCCAGGCUCAACAUGAUUGGGUCCAUGUGACUGUUCAGAAAUUGCAAAACGUAAUUUCUAAACCUACACUGUGACAGGCAGAUUCCAUAAGGAAUCUGCUUUUUUUGGCUUCAUUGUCACCUGUAUUAGAAUACGUUCUGUUAAAGUAAUGAUUGCUUGUAUUCCUAAUAAAGCUGGC
rnacentral:lncRNA from 1 species